rfam:Mus musculus chromosome 11, GRC primary reference assembly.
GCAUGAGAGCACUCUGGCUGUGCCAUCUGUCACCCUAUUGACCACCAGGAUUUAUUGGUUUGCUCUGGUCAGCUAAGCAGGUGUCCCCUUUCACCUUCACCAUC